rnacentral:rRNA from 1 species
UACGGGGGGGGGCAAGCGUUGUUCGGAAUUACUGGGCGUAAAGGGCUCGUAGGCGGCCAACUAAGUCAGACGUGAAAUCCCUCGGCUUAACCGGGGAACUGCGUCUGAUACUGGAUGGCUUGAGUUUGGGAGAGGGAUGUGGAAUUCCAGGUGUAGCGGUGAAAUGCGCAGAUAUCAGGAGGAACACCGGUGGCGAAAGCGGCUCACUGGACCGUUGCUGACGCUGAGGUGCGAAAGCUAGGGGAGCAAACGGG